UACGUAGGGUGCAAGCGUUGUCCGGAAUUAUUGGGCGUAAAGAGCUCGUAGGCGGUUCGUCGCGUCGGCUGUGAAAACCCGGAGCUCAACUCCGGGCCUGCAGUCGAUACGGGCGGACUUGAGUGUUGCAGGGGAGACUGGAAUUCCUGGUGUAGAGGUGAAAUUCGUAGAUAUUGGGAAGAACACCGAUGGCGAAGGCAGCCAUCUGGACCGACACUGACGCUGAGGCGCGAAAGCGUGGGGAGCAAACAGG
rnacentral:rRNA from 1 species